rnacentral:rRNA from 1 species
AGUGAACGCUGGCGGUAGGCCUAACACAUGCAAGUCGAACGGCAGCACAGUAAGAGCUUGCUCUUACGGGUGGCGAGUGGCGGACGGGUGAGGAAUACAUCGGAAUCUACUUUUUCGUGGGGGAUAACGUAGGGAAACUUACGCUAAUACCGCAUACGACCUACGGGUGAAAGCAGGGGAUCUUCGGACCUUGCGCGAUUGAAUGAGCCGAUGUCGGAUUAGCUAGUUGGCGGGGUAAAGGCCCACCAAGGCGACGAUCCGUAGCUGGUCUGAGAGGUUGAUCAGCCACACUGGAACUGAGACACGGUCCAGACUCCUACGGGAGGCAGCAGUGGGGAAUAUUGGACAGUGGGCGGAAGCCUGAUCCAGCCAUACCGCGUGGGUGAAGAAGGCCUUCGGGUUGUAAAGCCCUUUUGUUGGGAAAGAAAAGCAGCAGGUUAAUACCCCGCUGUUCUGACGGUACCCAAAGAAUAAGCACCGGCUAACUUCGUG